UUUAUAACUAUCUACUCCAUCACAAGUCUCCACCAUCAACACAGGUAUGAACCUGCACAGGAUCAUAACUCUUUUCUUUCUUCCCCUGCUAACCAGUCUCCGUCUCAUCCUCCAUUUCCGAGCGGCGGCAUAAGGCGGCUCCGUCUUUUGUCUGCACCGUCUGAUUAGACGUCGGAUCUCAGACCACUCAUCGUCACCGCUUCCAUUGAAGCCCUCGGAUCUUGAUCAUCGCAGAGGCUUAUCUCCAUCUACAAUCAGACAACUUGUGAUUCCAUUUUAGGGAUUGGUGAUUCUAGCAUCGAUCUCAGAAGUAGAGCAAGGACUUUUUACUCUUUUUGUACCUUUUAAAGAUCCCGAAGAGCUUCCCAAGUGGAACUAUGAUGGAUGUAGCAUAUGCCAAGCUCAUGGAGAAAAGUGUUAAUUGAUCAUAUUCUGGAUUAGCAUCUAAUAAGAUAACUGUUGGAUUAGCAAGAGAAGUAACAAGGAUUGACAAGUUCAAUAGCGGGAAAGGCGAACUGAUUAAUGCUUGUAUGAAAAGAUUGUGGAGGGAAUCAGAGUUUAGCACUUGAACAAUCUCCUUUAUUAAGAAAGAGAUAAUGAUAGGACUUCUACAAAGGCCAUUGGACCAGAUCUUUUCUUGCGAUUCACCAAGAUCCGAGUGUUUAUCAAAACCCCAAUGAAUACAUGGGCAUGGCAGGGCAGAGAAGAAGGUAAUGAAGAACGGAGAGAGAGGGUUUAUCGAUUCUUCAACUAUUUGUUCACAAUGGUUCUUGUAUUGCAGUCUUGGAGAGAAUGGAUCCAACCCCACAAUGGCAGUUGCAGCAACUGCUGCGGGUGAUCAGCAAUUGCAGCAGACUGCAAAUGUAUCUGAGAAAGAGAAAGAGAGAGAAACAUCAAUAGCAAGUAACGACAUUGGCAAUGGAAGUGGCAAAGAAAGCCCCCAUUUGCAUGAAGAAAGUGAUUUACCAGAAAGCUUGGAACACAACGUCCCUGCUAGUCCCUUUGCAUCUCCUAAAGCUGCUGUGGACUUCUUUGAUGAUAAGUUAGCCAUAAUUGGAUGAUUUAGUUUAAGUUUUACAGGGAUUUUUUUGUGGCUCCUUUUCUUCAAUCUCACCACUAUUGUUACUCUUAAAGCCGCAAACAAAUGCAUGAAUCUCCUCCUCCAGCCACAGCAAAGUGAUACCCAAAGUGUUUAGGAAAGAUUUGGAAAGGGGUUCGUGGAUUUGGCUGCAGCAGUGGAUCGUUGUUACAGUAUCUUAUGUCGAUGAGAAUUAUCAUUGUUAUUUAUUUGCCUUUGAUGGUUGUAAUUUUAUACACAAUGGAUCUUUUUGCAUCCGAGGAACUCUUUGUAACUUCAAUUUACAGUCAGAGUCCAGAUUUGUUUUACAAAUUUGCUUUUAUGAUCUGGUUUGUGCUCAGCUCAUGUAUGGAUUUAAACUUGCUUAGACUCCGACAUAAACUGUGUUGAACUCGGUCAGACUUCAUCGACGGUGACAUGAACAGUCCUGAACUCGAUUAUUUGGCCAUUCUAGUCCUCGUUCCACACCUAGUGGCAGCACCGCUUUUUGAAGCUUUCUCAUUGUUCAUUGAUAUUGCAAUGGUAAACAUUAGAGAAAUCAGUUGAAUAUUUGUUAUGCUCUCUUUGCUU